rnacentral:rRNA from 1 species
AUUGAACGCUGGCGGCAGGCUUAACACAUGCAAGUCGAGCGGGGUGAUGGUGCUUGCACUAUCACUUAGCGGCGGACGGGUGAGUAAUGCUUAGGAAUCUGCCUAUUAGUGGGGGACGACAUCUCGAAAGGUAUGCUAAUACCGCAUACGUCCUACGGGAGAAAGCAGGGGAUCACUUGUGACCUUGCGCUAAUAGAUGAGCCUAAGUCGGAUUAGCUAGUUGGUGGGGUAAAGGCCUACCAAGGCGACGAUCUGUAGCGGGUCUGAGAGGAUGAUCCGCCACACUGGGACUGAGACACGGCCCAGACUCCUACGGGAGGCAGCAGUGGGGAAUAUUGGACAAUGGGGGGAACCCUGAUCCAGCCAUGCCGCGUGUGUGAAGAAGGCCUUAUGGUUGUAAAGCACUUUAAGCGAGGAGGAGGCUCUUUUGGUUAAUACCCAAGAUGAGUGGACGUUACUCGCAGAAUAAGCACCGGCUAACUCUGUGCCAGCAGCCGCGGUAA